rnacentral:rRNA from 1 species
AACACAUGCAAGUCGAGCGGUAACAGGAAUUAGCUUGCUAAUUUGCUGACGAGCGGCGGACGGGUGAGUAAUGCCUGGGAAUAUGCCUUGAUGUGGGGGAUAACUAUUGGAAACGAUAGCUAAUACCGCAUAAUGUCUUCGGACCAAAGAGGGGGCUCUUCGGACCUCUCGCGUCAAGAUUAGCCCAGGUGAGAUUAGCUAGUUGGUGGGGUAAGAGCUCACCAAGGCGACGAUCUCUAGCUGGUCUGAGAGGAUGAUCAGCCACACUGGAACUGAGACACGGUCCAGACUCCUACGGGAGGCAGCAGUGGGGAAUAUUGCACAAUGGGCGAAAGCCUGAUGCAGCCAUGCCGCGUGUAUGAAGAAGGCCUUCGGGUUGUAAAGUACUUUCAGUCGUGAGGAAGGGUGUGUAGUUAAUAGCUGCACAUCUUGACGUUAGCGACAGAAGAAGCACCGGCUAACUCCGUGCCAGCAGCCGCGGUAAUACGGAGGGUGCGAGCGUUAAUCGGAAUUACUGGGCGUAAAGCGCAUGCAGGUGGUGCAUUAAGUCAGAUGUGAAAGCCCGGGGCUCAACCUCGGAACCGCAUUUGAAACUGGUGAACUAGAGUGCUGUAGAGGGGGGGGUAGAAUUUCACGUGUAGCGGUGAAAUGCGUAGAGAUCUGAAGGAAUACCAGUGGCGAAGGCGGCCCCCUGGACAGACACUGACACUCACAUGCGAAAGCGUGGGGGAGCAAACAGGAUUAGAUACCCUGGUAGUCCACGCCGUAC